AUGGGCAGGAACGGAAGCAUCAAGCGGGGCGCGGCCGCCGCGGCGCCUCCGUCGUUCACAGUGAACCCGGCCGACUACCGGCUCAUGGAGGAGGUGGGCUACGGCGCGCACGCCGUCGUGUACCGCGCGCUCUUCCUCCCCAGGAACCAGACCGUUGCCGUCAAGUGCCUGGAUCUCGACCAGCUCAACAACAACAUCGAUGAAGUACAAAGGGAGGCUCAAAUAAUGAGCUUGAUCGAUCACCCUAAUGUCAUUAGGGCUUACUGCUCAUUUGUUGUGGAGCACAGUCUUUGGGUCAUAAUGCCAUUCAUGACGGAGGGUUCAUGUUUACACUUGAUGAAGAUUGCGUAUCCUGAAGGUUUCGAGGAACCUGUUAUUGCAUCAAUUUUAAAAGAAACACUCAAGGCUCUGGAGUACCUUCAUAGGCAAGGACAGAUCCAUCGUGAUAUCAAGGCUGGUAACAUCCUUAUUGAUAGUGCUGGUGUAGUGAAGCUUGGGGACUUUGGCGUUUCUGCUUGUAUGUUUGAUAGAGGUGAUAGACAAAGAUCUAGGAACACAUUUGUUGGAACUCCAUGCUGGAUGGCUCCAGAAGUGCUCCAGCCUGGUACUGGAUAUAACUUCAAAGCCGAUAUAUGGUCGUUUGGAAUCACUGCACUUGAACUAGCGCAUGGACAUGCUCCAUUUUCGAAGUACCCCCCUAUGAAGGUUCUUCUCAUGACUCUCCAGAAUGCGCCACCUGGUCUUGACUAUGACCGAGACAGAAGAUUUUCGAAGGCAUUUAAAGAGAUGGUUGCGAUGUGCUUGGUGAAAGAUCAAACAAAGAGGCCGACGGCUGAGAAGUUGCUCAAACAUUCAUUUUUCAAAACUGCAAAACCUCCAGAAUCGACAAUGAAGGGUAUGUUAACUGAUCUACCUCCUCUAUGGGAGCGUGUAAAGGCACUCCAGCUUAAAGACGCAGCACAAUUGGCUUUGAAGAAAAUGCCUUCUUCUGAGCAGGAGGCACUUUCCCUGAGUGAAUACCAGCGAGGUGUUAGUGCGUGGCACUUUGAUAUUGAAGACCUCAAGGCUCAAGCAUCACUAAUUUAUGAGGAUGAAUCAUCUGAAACAAAAGAGGACGAUGUCGCUGCAAGAAUCAUUGAAUCUGAAAAGAGUUUAUAUUCGAGGACCCCUUCAGGACAGUCGUCAUCUGCAAAUGAAAAUACCUGCAGUGAAGAAACCUCUACGACGAAUCCUGAUUGUAGAAGGAUGCCAAAUGGACAUGAAAAUUCUAGAUCAGAGAAUGAUUCAUUGCCCUCUACAUCAAAGGAACCAGAGUCGAAAUAUUGGAGAACUAAUGUUGGACAGAAACAACAGACUUCUGGAGGUCCAGUUGAAGGUGGUGUUAAUAGCUCAACAGCUGAAAGGAGCCAUAAUUUUGAAAGGGAUGCAACUGCUGACAAACAUGGAAGUGAUACGAGAAGAGCCUCAAAUCUUAGUGGUCCAUUAUCAUUGCCAACUCGUGCCUCUGCAAACAGUUACUCAGCUCCUAUACGGUCUUCAGGAGGAUAUGUAGACUCAUUGGGAGAUAAAUCUAAACGUAGCGUGGUGCAUAUUAAAGGUCGCUUUUCUGUGACAUCUGAGAACGUUGAUCUUGCGAAGGUUCAGGAAAUUCCAUUGAGUAGCAUCUCACGCAAAUCACCACAGGGUAUACAGCUAAGAAAAUCCGCAAGUGUUGGUGAUUGGAUUGUCAAUGCCAAACCAAUGUCUAACAGUCAUCAUCUGAAGGAACUCUGCAAUAGCUCGGUAUCAUCGUCUGUUCUCAUUCCCCACCUUGAGAACCUCGUGCAACAGACUACGCUUCAGCAAGUAUGGAGGAAGCUUGACAUGUUUAAGAAUGAUCUGAUCGUGAACCUACUAAGUAGCAUGCAACAGAAUGAGAAAGCUGACGGUGCACAGUCUGGAACGGCGUCGCAAGUCCGAAAUAUGCAAAGUGAGACAGUGGUUGAAACAUCUAAUACUGAGAAAGAACGGUCAUUACUUGUUAAAAUUUCAGAGCUGCAGUCUAGAAUGAUUACUUUGACUGACGAACUGAUUUCAGCCAAGCAAAAACAUGUUCAGUUGCAGCAAGAGCUUAAUGCGUUAUACUGUCGAGAAGAAAUAGAAGACAUUAGGGACGAGGACAAUGAAGAAACAUAG
rnacentral:rRNA from 1 species